rnacentral:rRNA from 1 species
GACGAACGCUGGCGGCGUGCUUAACACAUGCAAGUCGAGCGGGGCGGCGAACGGGUGAGUAACGCGUGAGUAACUGCCCCCCUCUCUGGGAUAACAGUUGGAAACGGCUGCUAAUACCGGAUAGUGGGGGAUGACUCGCGUCCUAUCAGCUUGUGGUUGGGGUAGUGGCCUACCAAGGCGACGACGGGGAGCCGGCCUGAGAGGGCGACCGGCCACAUUGGGAUGAGAUACGGCAGAGAGUCCUACGGGACGAAGGAGUGGGGAAUAUUGGGCAAUGGGCGCAAGCCUGAACCAGCAACGCCGCGUGAAGGAAGACGGUCUUCGGAUGGUAAACUUCUUUAUAAAGGGACGCGGUACCUGCAGAAUAAGCAACGGCUAACUACGUGCCAGCAGCCGCGGUAAUUC